rnacentral:rRNA from 1 species
UGGGGAAUUUUGGACAAUGGGGGAAACCCUGAUCCAGCCAUCCCGCGUGUGCGAUGAAGGCCUUCGGGUUGUAAAGCACUUUUGGCAGGAAAGAAACGUCAUGGGUUAAUACCCCGUGGAACUGACGGUACCUGCAGAAUAAGCACCGGCUAACUACGUGCCAGCAGCCGCGGUAAUACGUAGGGUGCAAGCGUUAAUCGGAAUUACUGGGCGUAAAGCGUGCGCAGGCGGUUCGGAAAGAAAGAUGUGAAAUCCCAGAGCUCAACUUUGGAACUGCAUUUUUAACUACCGGGCUAGAGUGUGUCAGAGGGAGGUGGAAUUCCGCGUGUAGCAGUGAAAUGCGUAGAUAUGCGGAGGAACACCGAUGGCGAAGGCAGCCUCCUGGGAUAACACUGACGCUCAUGCACGAAAGCGUGGGGAGCAAACAGG